rnacentral:rRNA from 1 species
UACGGAGGGUGCGGGCGUUGUCCGGAAUCAUUGGGCGUAAAGGGCGCGUAGGUGGCCCGGUCAGUUCGUGGUGAAAGCGCGGGGCUCAACCCUGCGUCGGCCAUGAAUACUGCCGCGGCUGGAGCACUGUAGAGGCAGGCGGAAUUCCGGGUGUAGCGGUGGAAUGCGUAGAGAUCCGGAAGAACACCGGUGGCGAAGGCGGCCUGCUGGGCAGUUGCUGACACUGAGGCGCGACAGCGUGGGGAGCAAACAGG